AUGAAAUACAUGUUUUGCAGAUACCCUCUCUCUCAAUUCAUACAAAGGACAGUUCACACUUCCGCUUGUACCCUUCCUGCUGAAACCCGGAAAGCUAAUGCCUAUCUUGUGAGGCAUGCAGAGACGUCAGACGCAUUCUUGAAUGCCCACCAAGUGUUCGACGAAACGCCUGACUUAAACGUGGUCUCGGCCACAACAAUAAUAGGCAGCUUUGCUCGGCAGCAUCAUCAUGAAGAAGCUGUGCACCUCUUUUCAAGAAUGCUUGUGUUGAAUAUUCGACCCAAUGAGUACACGUUUGGCACUGUCAUUCCCUCCUCGACCGCGCUUGGAGAUUUGAGUAUAGGUAAGCAACUUCAUGCAUUUGCAAAAAAGAUGGGGUUGCAUUCUAAUGUGUUUGUGGGGAGUGCAAUGUUGGACCUUUAUGCCAAGCUGAGCGUAAUCCAGGAUGCUCGGAGAGCUUUCGAAGAUACCCAGAAGCCGAAUGUUGUUUCCUACACGACAUUGAUAUGUGCUUACCUGAAAAAGGAGAUGCUUGAAGAUGCUCUUGAGCUUUUUAAAGUGAUGCCAGAGAGGAAUGUAGUUUCAUGGAAUGCUAUGAUUGGAGGGUAUAGCCAAACAGGCCACAAUGAAGAGGCUGUCAAUCUUUUCAGUGAGAUGCUUCGAAAUGGGUUGGUGCCGAGUCAAUCUACUUUUCCUUGUGCUAUAAUUGCAGCUGCUAAUAUAGCAGCGCUAGGAAUUGGGAGAAGCUUUCAUGCCUGUGCUGUCAAGGCUUUGGGUAAGUUCAAUGUGUUUAUUAGCAAUUCUCUAAUAAGUUUCUAUGCAAAAUGUGGGAGCAUGGAAGAUAGUCUCUUGGUUUUCGAUAGACUCAGGGGAAGAAACAUUGUUUCUUGGAAUGCUGUGAUUUGUGGGUACGCUCAAAAUGGUAAAGGAGAGGAAGCCAUAAGCUUUUUCGAAAAGAUGAGGGUCUCAGAAUGUAAACCCAACAGUGUUACACUUCUUGGGUUAUUGUGGGCGUGUAAUCAUGCUGGUCUUGUUGACAAGGGUUACUCCUAUUAUAACCAGGUGAGAACGGAGGAGCCCGGCAUUAGAGCCUGAGCAUUAUGCUUGUAUGGUUGAUCUACUCUCGCGCUCAGGGUGCUUCAGACAAGCCGAGGAAUUUAUUAGUGAUUUGACUUUUGAACCAGGCAUUGGUUUUUGGAAGGCAUUGCUUGGUGGCUGCCAAAUCCACUCAAAUUGGGGGAGUUUGCGGCAAGAAAAAUCCUGGCUUUGGAUCCUGGAGAUGUGUCAUCUUAUGUUAUGGUGUCUAAUGCACAUUCUGCAGCUGGAAGGUGGCAGAAUGUGUCAACAAUAAGGAGAGAAAUGAAAGACAAAGGGAUGAAGAGGAUUCCAGGUUGCAGUUGGAUAGAAAUCAGAAGCCAAGUUCAUGUAUUUACCACCGCGGAUAAGAAUCAUCACCAAAUGAAUGAAAUUUAUACUGUGUUAGAAAUUAUGUACAGAGCAUUUGAAGGAGAAUAAAUCAAAAGUUGAAAAGUGCGAUGAUGAUAUCUAAUUCUCUACUGCACCAACAUUUAGCUGGAGCUGGCCAACAGGCUAACAGUGCUUCUGUGCAAGGAACUUUACUACUUGAGGAAGCUUCAAAUACAUAAUCUGGGAAGGAAAUUAAUGCCUAACCAAACACAAGCUCUAGAGUAGAAUAUUACCUGAUAUGAAAUAGGUUUUUAUUUUUUCAUGUGUUAAAACCUGCUUUCAGG